GGUAGUGUAGUUAACACCUGCACUUAUUUGACGUUACCUACAGAAGAAGCACCGGCUAACUCCGUGCCAGCAGCCGCGGUAAUACGGAGGGUGCGAGCGUUAAUCGGAAUUACUGGGACGUAAAGCGCAUGCAGGCCGGCCUUGUUAAGUCAGAUGUGAAAGCCCCGGGGCUUAAACCUCGGAAUUGCAUUUGAAACUGGCAGGCUAGAGUCUUGUAGGAGGGGGUAGAAUUUCAGGUGUAGCGGUGAAAUGCGUAGAGAUCUGAAGGAAUACCAGUGGCGAAGGCGGCCCCCUGGACAAAGACUGACGCUCAGAUGCGAAAGCGUGGGGAGCAAACAGGAUUAGAUACCCCUGGUAG
rnacentral:rRNA from 1 species